GUUGAACUAUGGGAAAUAUUGAAAGCAGUGCAUUGAAGAUGCAGUAAAAUUGAACAAACACAGCUCAUCCUACAUUCUGAAGAUGGGGUACAUUUAUCAGAAAAGAAAAACUGCCAGAGAGAAUUCACAUCACUGCAGACAGAGAGUAUCAAAUGGCAAAGAAAUGUACCUGACAACUUUUCAGAAAUUUUAAGACUAUUAAAAGAAGAUCAGUUUGGAGUCUUACUGCAAAGUAAGUGCAAAUUCUUUGCUUAAUGACUGUUUUCCUCUUCCUGAGGA